rnacentral:rRNA from 1 species
GUGGGGAAUCUUGCGCAAUGGGCGAAAGCCUGACGCAGCCAUGCCGCGUGGAUGAUGAAGGUCUUAGGAUUGUAAAAUCCUUUCACCGGUGAAGAUAAUGACUGUAGCCGGAGAAGAAGCCCCGGCUAACUUCGUGCCAGCAGCCGCGGUAAUACGAAGGGGGCUAGCGUUGCUCGGAUUUACUGGGCGUAAAGGGCGCGUAGGCGGACAUUUAAGUCAGGGGGGAAAUCCCGGGGCUCAACCUCGGAACUGCCUUUGAUAAUGGGUGUCUUGCGUAUGAGAGAGGUGUGUGGACCUCCGAGUGUAGAGGUGAAAUUCGUAGAUAUUCGGAAGAACACCAGUGGCGAAGGCGACACACUGGCUCAUUACUGACGCUGAGGCGCGAAAGCGUGGGGAGCAAACAGGAUUAGAAACCCGGGUAGUCC